rnacentral:lncRNA from 1 species
UGCUCUCUUGCCUCACCAAAUAUGAACUGCAAUGAAAUUCUGGUCUCUGAAACUAUCUUUCUCGUCAGUAGAACCGCUGUUGUGCAAUUUGUUCGUUCCAAGUUGGACUACAGAUAUCACUUGCGUUCAACGCUCUAUGAUUUUUGGCAAAAAUCGGAGUUAGCAGAAGAUCGGCCUCUCACAUGGCAUUUUUUUUUUUUGCUGAACAUCGAACCUGAAAACUGUACGAAAAAUUGUAGUAGUGCUAGUUUUCUGCAUUUCUGAAACCUGUAACGCAAAUUUUUUUCAUGGAAAAGAAAAUUUAUGACUGAAAGUCUCCUGGUUUGUGCAAUCAUGGAACUGGGCACUGCUGCUGGCAGUGUCACUGUCGUGUUUCUUCCAGUUAGCAGUUAGUACAGCCAGGUUGCGUUUCACAGCGGAGAUCAGUUUGUUGGCUACAUAUAACUGCAUCUUUUACAGUUUUGUGGAGUGCAGCCAUGUAGCAACACUGUGAUUACCAUGUACUAGAUCAGUUGAUCUAGUAUUUCUACUGAUGCAUCUAGAUCAUGAUGUUUUAUGGGGAGUUCCUUGCUUGCCUAUUUGAUUGGCACCUUCUUGCUCCGAUUCGCAGGAUGUUCUUGGGCAGCGUGAGCAACUACUGCAUCAACAGCGUGGGCUGCCCCGUCGUCGUAAUCAAGGGCACCUGAAGACCAUCUUCGAACCAACAUUCUCUGCUUUGCUGCAGUCCACAUCAAGUUUUUGAUGCAAUCUGUAAUCCUGCGCGACACAAUGUUUUCGUGUCACCUGGCGUUGUUUGGUGGUGUGUGGUUCCGAUGGACGACAACUGCUCUGCUGUGCGUGCAUACAACGUAUAUCCCGUGCAAAGGAAAAUGUGUGUAUUAUUGGUUUUGUGGACUUUGUGGGGGAAUAAGCGCCGGUGUAGCACAUGGUUUUGUGUACUCCUGUGGUUCUGGCCUUCUGGGAAAACGUGGUACCAUGUGGCAUGUGAAUGUGAACAUUUGCGAAAUGUAAAACCCUCCAUCCUGUGUUCUUUAUCUGAUAUCGGCAAACAACUUAACACAGCUAGCCUGGUCCAUGUCCAAGGUCUAUCUCCUUCGCCUCUACCAGUCUCCCACCCACCCUGUUCUCCUCUGUUGCUUCCACUCGUUUCCCCAAUAUCCUCUCUCGUUCGUUGCAGCUUACGAUGGGGGCAGAGUUGCUGCUGGGCGGGAGCAGCCUUGCUGCUGCGUCCUCAGUUGCAUGUGGACGCUGCGUGCCAGUGCCAGUAGUAGCUGGCCAGGGCGACCGGCGGCGACCCGGAUCGAUGCAGCUAGCGGCGGCGCUCCGGCGGCGCCCUGGUUGCGCAUGGCAAUGGCCGCAUAGUACGUGACCGGCUGAAAUUUGCAUUAUUUCCCCCCCUGAACAUUACUGGUACGUUCCACUGAGUGUAGCGGAUAACACUCAUCUCUAGCAUCCGGAAGGAAAGUAAAAUUGCAGAUCAAAUUGGACUGAAGAACUAAAGAAGCGUACAGUACCUUUUUUUUCGUUGACAUUAUAUUAAGGAUAAAUUCGUCCCUAAUCCACCAAAGUUACUCGUAAUUGGCAGUCAUGAGGUACUGGAUUGCGUUUUAGGCAAAUUUUUACUUUCAGUUUGGAAGAAAUUGACCUGCCAUUCAGGGAGAAUUAUGGUUCUUUUAUGUCAAGGCUUCCACUGAAAGUCUGAAAUUUUAUUUUCGAUCCGCCGCUGCUGACUGGCGGACCCGUUCCCUCCCCACACGUCAGUCACCAAGCGUGGCUAAUGUCUUUUUGGGGGGGAGGUGUGUGCAAUGUUGCAUAGCAAAGGAGAUAAAAUAUCCCCUGAAAUAUAGGCAGCAUCACCAAGGAUCAGAACUCAUCACAACACCAACGCUGCGCCGCCGCCGAAUUGUGGACAGGAGAACCGGACGACGGAAAGAUGGGGUUCGAGAAGGAGAUCCUCAAAGUCGGCACAGGCCCCAAGCCCGUCAAGGGCCAGAAGGUCACCGUCCACUGCACCGGCUACGGUCCGCCCCUUCCCUUCACCCCUCUGUUAUGUCUCCUUUCCCCAUUUUUUCUUGGAUCCGUUGAUGUGAAAUUCGGAAUAGCGUUCGAUGCUUCCAGAUCCGUCUAGAAGAGGAAUCUUGAAGUCCAUUAGGCAUCGAUUUUCAUCUUAGCGAGGUUUUUAAUUGCUAGUAGAUGUGAAGCUUGGUUCUUGUGUAGUUAUAAGUACUUAAUAGUCUAGAUUCAACUAGAGUCGCAAGUCUACUUUUAUCCAGUUCUAGUUACCUUUACUGAUGAAUAUUAGACCUUCUGUCGAUCUGAUCUGUACUACUGUAUUUGUUAAGCGCUAACUUGCGUUGCUUGCUAUGUUGCUGCGGCAGGGAAGGAUGGUGAUCUGUCCAAGAAGUUCUGGAGGUAAAUCAGGAAUAUGUUUCUUGUUUUUCGUGUUUCAGAACUUAGCAUCAGUGCAGUAACCGUUGAUAAAGCAUCAUUUAUUUCCCCAUGAUUUGUGUAUAAUUCUGCUGCUGUAUCUUGUAGUACAUCAUGAGUUCAUAACUUGUGGAUGCAACUUUUUUGCGAUGGUAUUCGCACAUUAGAAAUUUAUAUGAUGGCAUUAUGUUUGUUUUUUCAGUACCAAGGACCCUGGGCAGCAGCCAUUUAGUUUCAACAUUGGCCUGGGUUCAGUGAUCAAAGGUAAUCUCAAGUCGAGCAGCUCUUCUGUUAAUACACAUGACACAAUCAUUUCACCUGCUUGUCACUGGCUCAUGCGAUAUUAGUUGCUGUUAAAAUCUGAUAGAAGUGAAUGCUAUUGUCACCACCUCUAAGGAUGUGUUGUUUACCUGGUCAGAAGAUUUCAUAAGGGCAUAAUUAUGGAGCUUUCUUGAUUGUGUUCCAACUAAAUACAACAUAUUCUUCCUUCAAAUUGGUUUGGAUGGGUUAAAAUGUAAACUCAAUGCUCUUGAUGAUGCUUUGUAUCGUGCACUUGAAACCUAGAGUUGUAGAGUACCUAAUGAAAUUGAUGGUAUAGCUGCAAGAGUACCUAUCGUACACACUAUUUUCCUUUGCUGUUUAUGUUAGUCACCUAUGAUCAUAAUUGCCCGUUGUGUUUUCUCUUAAUGAAGUACUCUUAGAAGCCCUUGUUUCAUGCUAUUAACAUCAUAAUAUAUCGCUAAGGUAUAUUUGCACUAUUCUUUCCUGAAGUCAAGUAGUACUACAUUUCAUUGUGUUGUCCAGUCUAAUGUCACAUGUCAGCCACCACUAUAUUAUCUGCAAAACCAUGAUACAAUUGCAUGUGCAAGUAUCCCAACUAACAGUAACUACUCUCUUGCUUGCAGGAUGGGAUGAGGGAGUUAUGACCAUGCAGUUGGGCGAAAUUGCUCGUAUUCGGGUAUGUUCUUCAGGCAUGUCCAAUUAAUUUGUUUGUGCAUGACAAUUUCUUUACUGGUUCAUCUGGCACUUCGUUACAACUUAUUCCUCCGUUCCAUAAUUCUUGUCGAAAUAUUAAAUGUAUCUAGACGUUUUUUAGAAAUAGAUACAUCCAUUUUUGGGCAAAUUUGAGACAAGAAUUAUGGAACGGAGGGAGUAUAAUUUUUCCUGUACUGGAUUGCUUGAUUGCAUACAUUAUACUCCCUUUUCUCUACUAUGUAUUAGUUGGACUUUUCAAUGCCACAUCAUUUCCAUUGUCCGAGAGACUUUGCAUAGAAAUGUUAUUGUGUAAUAUUCUUAUUACCUAACCAGGUUCCCUGAUCUGAUAUUGCUGGUGUUGUUAUUGCAGUGCACCCCAGAUUACGCUUAUGGAUCCGGUGGCUUCCCAGCCUGGGGAAUUCAACCAAACUCGGUGCUGGUGUUCGAGAUUGAGGUUCUUAGCGCAAAGUGAUGCACUGUGUAAUUCUUGACGGAGCCAUGGAACAGUGCCGUGUCGCCGUGCCUCUUCAGUACCGAAUAAUUGUAACAUGACAUCCUGUUGACAUUGGGGUGAUGUUCUGAGUGGAUUUGAGUAAAAACAUUUUCAAAACCUUAUUAUGGUCUGUCGUCCAGAAUUUGUGUUGUUUGUUGAAUCUGCGAUCUGCAUCAGUGCUGUUGUAUGUGGCGCUUUGGUGCCAUCCUGUUCCGGCUUUUAGCAGGAAAUUAAAUAACCUUAUUAUGGCGCGCACGUAGAACGCUACCAAUUUGUAACCCGGCGGCUCAAGCAACCUCGCGAGCGAGAUCGAUCUUCGAUCCAUGGCGUCUGAUUCCGCGACCGCGCCGUCCGACGCCGUAGCGAGAAGCAGCAGCAGCAAGAAGGCCGACGGCGGACCAUCCUCGAAAGCCGCGACGAGCGCUCCCGCAGAAGGAAAGGCUACGACGGCGGCGGCGGCACGGAACAAGAAGCAUCUUCUCUCCGCCUCCGGUACUGUCAGGGACGGCAGGGGGAUCAAGAAGGCAGCGGCGGCGGAGCAGGGCAUGGCGGCGAAGCUGGCGGCCACGAAGCGCAAGCUGCGGGAAGGGUACCGGCGGUUCGCGGACGCGAAGCGGCGGCGCAGGUUGCAGGUGAUCGGGGAGGAGGUGGCGCGAACCUGCUGUGCAAAGUUUGAUCUGUGCGAGACUGCGUGUGAUUUGUUCUCCUUAGCUUCUGUGUAAUGUGGUUACUGACGAUCCACACUAGCUAGUUCAGAUUCAAGUCAGGCGUGUAUUGCAGUACGAUAUAGUAUUAGCAUCAAUUUCGUCGUUGUACGUACAGCAGGACUGAAACAGGUGUGCCAGUCAGUACCUUUUUGUUAAGAAGAUAGAAGAAUUAUAUGAACCAGUGUUACUGCAGGUCAACAUGUUCAAUAGCAUGCGGUGUACUCUUUCGUUUCUCUUUCUCUUUACAAAGAUCUCCACAUUGUCACUUAUACUCACUUUGGGCAUUUCGCCACAUGGGACGCCUCCCCUGAUUCGUCCGGUGGCUAUAAGUGGGCGUGUUUAUAACUCGAGCUAUCCAAUUUAAUUUUUCAACCAUGUGGCUGAUGAUCCUGCAUUGGUCCCUUGGCGGUUGUUUUUCUCUGUCCAGCAAAAGAUGUCUCCAGUUUUUCAAAAUUUAAAUAUAUCUAGAGAUGACUUGGUGUAUAGAUGCAUUCACAUUUAGUUAAAAUUAAGACAUCUUUUAUUGGACGGAGGAAUAUUAGGUUUUGUGAUCUGUUUUUUAAGUUUGUCACUAGUCGUUGUUCCUUUUUCAUUAAGCAGGCAACGGCAACAGUUUCAAUAAUUGUGCUCCUUCGAGUAAAAAAUAAUAAAUUUGUCUAGGUCUAUCUUCCCCCAAGGGCGUUGAGGUUAGGUUGAGUCGGUGAGGUGGGGACAAUUUUUGCCUUUUUUUUCCUCAGACUUUCACCAUUUUUCUUUUUUGCGAAAAGGCUCACCGAUCUAUUACUAAUCAUCAGAUGCAGAUGCAGUACAAAGAGUAAAAGUAAUAAAAUUACAAGUAGGUUUUCGGACCACCUAACAACAGCAACAAGCACUAAAACGAACCGAAGGCAGGACACCGUCCUUGCCCCUCCAUCAAUGGAGCCGGGCAGAGCUUGCCAAAAGAUUGCUUGUGGUAAUGGAUGAUGUCGUAAUAGUCGUGCUAAGGUCACAAAAAACCAACGCACCAGAGUCGCAACCAUUGCCAAAGAUGAGAACCGUAUAUCAGAAGACCUAGAGCUAAAACCAUACGAACAAACGCAAAAGCCGACCGAAACCGCCAACGAUCUGAAAUCAUAUGGAUGCCAAAGCCAAAGAGAACCAACGAAGAUUGCUAUCUCUUUCUGGUAUCCCCAAUAUUUCUUUAUCUAUACCAAGAUUAACUGCAAGGUCAGAUGAUGCUUAAAUUAUUAUUAUUUUUCGUUCUUGAGAACAUGCUUACAAUUGUCGCUGUUAGGAAAAUAUAGGAUUUUUUUUAUAAAAAAGAGGAAAAUAUAGGAUUGGACUAUUGGAGGGAAUACUUUUUUGGACUUGUUCAAACUUCGUGCCUGAGCUCGGAUGGCCCGCUAUGUAAGUCCAUAUUUCACUCUCGAAUGUAUCUCUUGGGACAGAUAACCUCCUGAAAUCUAAAACCAUCUAAUUUACACCUCAAAUCUAAAAUACCAAAUAGAUCACCCCAUUAGGUGGUUUUAGUGCUGACGUGGUGAAUUUAGAACGGUUUUGACCAAGCUUUUGACCGACAACGUGGAACUGGCAGAGGGAACAAAACUUACAGAGAUGCGGUCGUUGAGCUUCUUGCGGCGGCGGCGCUCGGCGACGAGGUUUAGCUGUCUUCUGGCCAGUUAAUUACUUAAUUUCCUGCCUAUAAAUAACGGCCAUUCGUGACAAGAGGAUUCCACAGCACAUCACCACUACUACAAAAACGUUUAUCAAUAACGGUAAAAAAUGGUUAUCAGUAACGGGCAGACCGCCCGUCACUAAUGUGGGGUACUGGGGUACAUCAGCGACGGGACGGGCGGUCAGCCCGUUGCUGAUGUUAUGCACAUAGUGGCAUGUUCUUGUAGGGACCGACACUAAUAUCAUUUUUCACAUUUAAAAAAAAGGCUGGGCAUUGGCCCAGCCCGCACGUUUCCCGUCGCCACGCCCAUGCCUCAGGAGCAGGCAUCCCUGCACGUUCCCCGUCGCCGGCAUCUGCAGGCAGCCCAAAACUCGGAGAUCUCCCCGGCCAACAACGAAUCGAUGAAUAGAGAUGAUCGAACACACAACAUGGACACAAAUCAGAUCAAGAACCCUAGCUCGCUGCCCAAACACACAAAUCGAACACACAAACGAAUCCGCGAUCAAGAACACACAAAUCGAACACAUAGAUCGGAUCCGCGACGGGGAGGUGGAGACGCCGCCGCUGCUCGUUGAAGAUAGGCCGGAUCCGGGGGCCUCCGGCCCGGAUCCGCGACGGGGAGGUGGAGAUGCCGCCGCCGCUCGUUGAAGAUAGGCCGGAUCCGGGGGCCUCCGGCCCGGAUCCGCGACGGGGAGGUGGAGAUGCCGCCGCCGCUCGCUGAAGAUAGGCCGGAUCCGGUGGCCUCCGACCCGGAUCGGCGACGGGGAGGUGGAGAUGCCGCCGCCGCUUGCUGCAGACGUCGCCGCCGCUCUGGGGAGGGAGGAGGAGAACCGGGUGCGCUGGGAGAGAGAGGAGCACGGCACGGCAACUGCUCGGGCUGGGAGAGAGGAGGGAGAAGAAAGGAGAGGGAGAGAUGGAUGCGUGUGGAUUGGGGAGAGGAAGGAGGAGAAAUCGGGCAAAAGUGAGGGAGGGAGGUGGCGGCAGCAGGGAGAAAGAGAGGCAGGAGGGGGGUUAGGGCUAGGCUGUAUUAUAUACGCAAUGGGGUU